UCACUAGGCCUAGUAAUUUAGGUUUGGGAGAAGUCCGAUAGGGGAGUCCUGAACCCCAAACCGUAAAUCUUGCCCUCCCCGCAUCCAGAGCUGUAUGAAAGAGCCCUGGCUUCAUUUGACCAGGUUGACAAAGAACAGGAGCCUCUUUCCAGUCAUGAAGUCUGCAAUCAGGAAUAAUGCAAACACAACCCAAGGCCCAGGAUCCAACCUGUGACCAUCUCACCUGACAAUGACUGUCCCCCUUAAACAGAAGAGGAAAUUAACUCCAUUCUAAUUAGGAAUCCCCCAGUCAUGUUUGAAGUCUGCAAGUCCAAACAGCAGACACAGCUCAGAGAGGAGACCGCCACUUAUCCAACCACCCUCCAUCCCCAGCUCCAGAAUUCUUCCCUUAUUGCCCGCUGUCUUUCAGAUCAAACAGCACAACACCACUAAACGGAUUUUUCCCCUUUC